UUAAAUUCUAAAAAACACAUUCAUUCAAUAAUCAUCCAACAUUAAGAAUCUUACAUCCAUAAGUUUGAGUUAAUGUUUGAAUACAUCCUAUAAGCUAAUACAAACAAAAAAAGAAAAGUAGUUUGAAGUAGCAGCCGCUGGAACCUCAUAUCCAAAACUAACGAAUCUCUCUUCAUGAACCAUCCUUUCACUUGUCAAUCUACAAUUAAAGCAUAUUAGUUUGAAGAGUUAUAUGCAUUAUUUGGAUAUUAUAAUAGUUAGAUAUAAAUUUUAUGGAUUAUUUGACAAACCUCAUUGAUCACACAAGAAACCCAAUCCUCACGAACCUCGUCAAUCUCCCUUCGACAGCCCUAUUCACAAAUUCGUCACCAACAACACCAAAAACAAUCAUAAAGUACUAAAUAACUAAACGGAAUGAAAAAAGAUAUGGUAACAACUAACAAAGGCCUUUGUUCCACAGGGAUUCCAACCUCAGUGUCAGCAGUAAUCACUAUUUUGCUCUUUUAACAGUUAAAAACAGAAACCUACCUUAGUUACAAUUUGAAAAGCUUUAUCACCACAAUGUACUAAAUAACUAAUGGAUGCUUAAAUAACUAGCAUAAUAGAAGAUGCAAAAUUAUAAGAGAUUCAUAAGUAUAUACUUACUCUUAUACCUGGUAAAGAUCUGCAUAUGAAACUAAAGUGUUUAGAUUUUACUUCUUCUUCUGUUUGACUGUAUGUAUCAUGCAGUGCUUGUUAUUAGUUUCAUAGAGAUAAACAUAAAAGAAAGAAGAAAAGGAACACAACUCAGUAGCUUUCCAAAGACAAACAUAAAAGAUAGAUGUAAAAAAAAAAAAAGCAAUUCUCAUAUCAUAUCCAACCUUUUCGUUUCUUAAUCUUUUCCUAGAGAGAUUCAACACUAAUCCACAGAUACAAAAAAGCACGAAUUAUUUCUGUGGUGUCCGCAUCAGAGGAUAACACGAAGAUCAAGAUUUGAAAAGAAGGUGAAACCAGAAAACAAAUUAUAUGAGUUGGACAAAAAUCAUAAGAUUACACAUCCCACGAAUCAUUGAGAAAAUACGUUAAAGCAACAAAAACCAAAACCAUGGAAUUGUCUGAUGCAAUGACUAAGGUUCCCAGUAGAAGAAUACCACUGACAAUGCGAGUGACGUCUAUUAAAGAACAUCCUACAAAUUCCUAGAGCUAAACUACAACUACAAGCCAAUGGGAAUAUGAACAUCCAAGAGCCACAGCUCUGCAGUCAUAUAGUCAAAAUUCUUAUUCCUCAGUAAUCAAUGUACCAAUAAUGCCAAACAAGACAGCUGAAAGAAAUCGACAUAUGCAGAAACUAAUUCAUCAGACUUUGUUCUGCGAAGACAAAAACUAUAUAAGUAUCUUGCAUUUUCCAGAUAUCAAUUUCAUCUAAUUACAUAUCUGAAGAAAAAAAGGACAAGCUAAACUAUGUGAAUGAUAAAUUUCCAGAACACAAAGGAUAGAACCCCAUAUAUCUCAUCAAGUGAAGGUUUCAACGAAAGAUCUAAAUUUCCAAUCCAAUCAAUCAGCAAACAUCGAAAAAAGAUAAAUAAAAGAAUAUGCCAUAUUCAAUUCACGCAAUCAAUUCUUCAUAAUAAUCUGCCCCUAAAAUUCGAGCCAUAAAUACAUUUUUGAAUUUCAGUUGAGUUGUUACCUGAAGAAUGAAAGCUGAUGAACUGAUUCAGAGGCUGGAGGCGAUGAUGACACGAUUAGAGCGGCAACAGACGUUUCUACAAUAUUUCUGGAAUUUUCAAUCUUCAGCUUUAAAUCUCAUUUUCCUUCAGCUUCAGCAAAGCAAACAAACAUAAUGGCAGAAAUCGAACCUCUAGCUAAUUUAAAUAGAAUAGUACAACCUCAAGAGACACAAAUUCGAUGAAUCCAAAAAUGUCUUGAUUUCCC
rnacentral:lncRNA from 1 species